UACAGAGGGUGCGAGCGUUGUUCGGAAUUACUGGGCUUAAAGAGUUCGUAGGCGGCUUGUUAAGUAGGGUGUGAAAGCCCUCGGCUCAACCGAGGAAUUGCGCUCUAAACUGUCGUGCUAGAGGAAGCUAGAGGUGAGCGGAACUGAUGGUGGAGCGGUGAAAUGCGUUGAUAUCAUCAGGAACACCGGAGGCGAAGGCGGCUCACUGGGGCUUUUCUGACGCUGAGGAACGAAAGCCAGGGUAGCGAACGGG
rnacentral:rRNA from 1 species